rnacentral:antisense_RNA from 1 species
AGAAAAGAGGACACAAAAGCAUGAAUAACAGGAGGAUGGAUAUAGAAUACCAGCAUCAGCAGGUGUACACGAUUUAAAGCACAUUUGGUAUCUAUUACCAAGCUGCCCUUCAGAGAGGUUGUCUCGUUACACAUUCCACAGCUGUGACUGAGAAACCGUCUUGUCGCAUUUGACAAUCCAGGUUACUAUCUAAAAACUUGAGUUUGUAAGAGCAACACGCCAUGAGAUAAUAUUCGUGCAAACGUAACUGACAAAAGACUAACAUCCCAUAAUACUAGAGCACCUACAAACCAAGAAGAUAAACAUCCCAUUGGGAAAGUGUAAAAAUAUGAACAUAAAGUUUACAGAAGAAAAAACACAAAUGGCUCAUAAACACACAAAAAGAUGAUAUUGUUUCCUGGUAAUUGGGGAAAUGCAAACAAAAACUACAAUGAAAUAUCGUGGUAUCGUGUAUCAAAUUUGCAGAGCAUAAAAUAGAUUACAUUCACAACCAGCAACUACAACCCAACCUUCAGCCUCAUUGGACUUCUUGCCAUUCCCCAAACCAUAUCCACGCCCCUCUCCACAGGCUGUUCCUUCUGCCUGCAUGCCCUCGAUAGCACCAAGGGGGAUGGGCACACUAACACAACUGCUGGGAAUGGGAAAGUUUCAACCUCUUGGGAAUAAAAUCUAACAGUAUUUGUUGGAAUGUAACCUGUGCAUACUCCACAGCUGGGCCACUACCCUGCAAGAACCCCUCUGGCUGCUGCACAAAGCUCUUCUCUGCAUCCUUUUUUAUACUAGUGGAACCCUGGACACAGCCUGCAUAUGGAUCAAAAGGGCAGUGGUUAUAAAUAUACUAUGGUCCAUCUCUAGGCUAGACUGUGAUGCAGUGGUUAAAGCCAAGUAUUGCAGAAGAGUGAUUAAGCAUUCGUGCUCCAAAGCCAGAUAGCCUAGGUUUCAAUCCCAGCUUUGCCACUUACUUGCUGUGUGAUCUUGUGCAACUCACUUAGCCUUUCUGUGUCACAGUUUCUCCAUCUGUAUAAUGGACGAUAACACUAGCCCCUACCUCAUAGGGUCAUUGUGAAGAGUAAAUGAAAUUAAUAUUGCCUAUGUCACAGAGUGAUCUUCCUCAAAAUUUAUUAGAUGAAAAAAGAAAUUUCUAGAAAUUAUCUACAUACAUAUUCUGAUGGGAUUUGUGUAAAGAAUUUAACCAACAAACCCAUAUUACACACACAUACACACACACACUCACACAGACACACACACACACACGCACUCACGUGCGUAGAAGUAGAUCUAGGAAGAUCCAUGACACACAUGCGAGGCAGGUGAAUGGGGACAUUAAAAGGAGGACUUCCACGUUUAAUUCUGAAUGGUCUGACUAUUUUAUUUGUGCAAUUUUAAAAAAUCAAAGCAAUAAAUCACUGUAAAAGAAA